rnacentral:rRNA from 1 species
UGGGGAAUAUUGGACAAUGGGCGAAAGCCUGAUCCAGCCAUGCCGCGUGCGUGAAGAAGGUCUUCGGAUUGUAAAGCACUUUAAGUUGGGAGGAAGGGCAGUAAGCGAAUACCUUGCUGUUUUGACGUUACCGACAGAAUAAGCACCGGCUAACUCUGUGCCAGCAGCCGCGGUAAUACAGAGGGUGCAAGCGUUAAUCGGAAUUACUGGGCGUAAAGCGCGCGUAGGUGGUUCGUUAAGUUGAAUGUGAAAGCCCCGGGCUCAACCUGGGAACUGCAUCCAAAACUGGCGAGCUAGAGUAGGGCAGAGGGUGGUGGAAUUUCCUGUGUAGCGGUGAAAUGCGUAGAUAUAGGAAGGAACACCAGUGGCGAAGGCGACCACCUGGGCUCAUACUGACACUGAGGUGCGAAAGCGUGGGGAGCAAACAGG